UGCCGGGAUAACUAAAACUCUGAGUUCUGUUUACUUCAGAGUUUUGGUACCCCGGCUCC
rnacentral:pre_miRNA from 1 species